CUCAUCUCCUGGUAUUUUGACACAGCUGACUCUUGAUUCCUGUCUCAUGACUGUGGACUCCUGCUCUGACCACUGGGUCUGGCUGCCUAUGAUCUGGCCCUGACACUGUUGUCAUGAUAUUUAUCCAAAGGGUGGCAUGUAAUGCAUCACUGGA